UACGUAGGGUGCAAGCGUUGUCCGGAAUUAUUGGGCGUAAAGAGCUCGUAGGCGGUCUGUCGCGUCGGCUGUGAAAACUCGGGGCUCAACCCCGGGCCUGCAGUCGAUACGGGCAGACUAGAGUGCGGUAGGGGAGACUGGAAUUCCUGGUGUAGCGGUGAAAUGCGCAGAUAUCAGGAGGAACACCGAUGGCGAAGGCAGAUCUCUGGGCCGUAACUGACGCUGAGGAGCGAAAGCGUGGGGAGCGAACAGG
rnacentral:rRNA from 1 species